ACGGCUCAGUAACACGUAGUCAAUCUACCCUAUGGACGGGAAUAACCUCGGGAAACUGAGAAUAAUGCCCGAUAGAACAUUAUGCCUGGAAUGGUUUAUGUUUCAAAUGAUUUAUCGCCAUAGGAUGGGACUGCGGCCUAUCAGUUUGUUGGUGAGGUAAUGGCCCACCAAGACUAUUACAGGUACGGGCUCUGAGAGGAGUAGCCCGGAGAUGGGUACUGAGACACGGACCCAGGCCCUAUGGGGCGCAGCAGGCGAGAAAACUUUGCAAUGUGCGAAAGCACGACAAGGUUAAUCCGAGUGGUUUCUGCUAAAGAAACCUUUUGUCAGUCCUAGAAACACUAACGAAUAAGGGGUGGGCAAGUUCUGGUGUCAGCCGCCGCGGUAAAACCAGCACCUCAAGUGGUCAGGAUGAUUAUUGGGCCUAAAGCAUCCGUAGCCCGUUUUGUAAGUUUUCGGUUAAAUUCAUGCGCUUAACGUAUGGGCUGCCGGGAAUACUGCAUAACUAGGAAGUGGGAGAGGUAGACGGUACUCGGUAGGAAGGGGUAAAAUCCUUUGAUCUAUUGAUGACCACCUGUGGCGAAGGCGGUCUACCAGAACACGUUCGACGGUGAGGGAUGAAAGCUGGGGGAGCAAACCGGAUUAGAUACCCGGGUAGUCCCAGCUGUAAACUAUGCAAACUCAGUGAUGCAUUGGCUUAUGGCCAAUGCAGUGCUGCAGGGAAGCCGUUAAGUUUGCCGCCUGGGAAGUACGUACGCAAGUAUGAAACUUAAAGGAAUUGGCGGGGGAGCAC
rnacentral:rRNA from 1 species